GGAGUUAGCCGGUGCUUCUUCUGUGAGUGAUGUCCUUCCUGCCGGCUAUUAACCCGCAGGCCUUCUUCCUCACUGAAAGUGCUUUACAACCCGAAGGCCUUCUUCACACACGCGGCAUGGCUGGAUCAGGGUUGCCCCCAUUGUCCAAUAUUCCCCACUGCUGCCUCCCGUAGGAGUCUGGGCCGUGUCUCAGUCCCAGUGUGGCUGAUCAUCCUCUCAGACCAGCUACGGAUCGUCGCCUUGGUGAGCCGUUACCUCACCAACCAGCUAAUCCGACAUAGGCUCAUCCGAUAGCGCGAGGCCCGAAGGUCCCCCGCUUUCCCCCGUAGGGCGUAUGCGGUAUUAGCCUGGGUUUCCCCAGGUUAUCCCCCGACUACCGGGCAGAUUCCUAUGCAUUACUCACCCGUCCGCCGCUCGCCACCAGGGAGCAAGCUCCCCGUGCUGCCGCUCGACUUGCAUGUGUUAGGCCUGCCGCCAGCGUUCAAUCUGAGCANGANCAACUACUGA
rnacentral:rRNA from 1 species